UCUCUGUUAGUAUAUCGGUUAGUACACGCGCCUGUCAUUCCGCACUAGUGUUCGCUGACCGCGCGAAAGCUGGGUUCGACUCCCAGACAGAGAG